AUUAGCAUGUGAAAUCCAAAGAAAACUAUAAUAUAGAUUUCUAACCGCAAUACAAUAUUUGUUAUACUUUGUUAAUAAUUAUUUUGAUCACCAACCCAUUCUGAGUAAAUAACAGUAUUAUGUAAAUACGAUUAUGAACAUUAUUCAAACAAAUUGUAUAUAGAUAGCAAAUACAUCAACGGAGAUGGAUGAUGAAGAGGAAGAAAAAAACAAAAGAUAAAUGUUCUAAUAUCCUUAAACAUUAUAAAUUUAACGGUUUUAAAGCUAAAAUAAAAUUUAAAUGGAUUGUGCAUAAAAUUUAUUUUAAUUAAAAUUAAAUAAGUACGAUAAAAUAUUCAGAUUAAACUAAGCUUAUAUCAUUUUAUAUGUUUUUCAUCACGUGAUAUAUAAUUUGCAUUAAUAAAAAUAACUUAUUUUGAGUAGUAAAAGAUUCAAAUCUAAUAGACCAAAAAUAUUUAAUUUCAUAAAAAAAAUCUUUUUUAAAAAAAAUUGUCUAAUGAUUUAUAUUUUAAUAAUAAAUGUUAAUAUAUACAUAAUAUUGAAAUAAAUUAAAAUGAUAGAAUUAAAAAUAAAUAUUAUGGAAAUACCCCGGCCGUAGCAAGACGAUCUCUGAUCUGAUUUAAAAAAAAAAAUAUUUACUAAACCACUUUCAUCACAGGAACAACAACCAAUCUGAAAUUCAACCCUUUUGAGCUUAUACGAAGCCAUUGUUUUCGGAAAUACAAAUAAUAAUAGUUUGAAACUCUUGACUCCGUUUUUAUUUUAAAUUUCCGUCGACAUAUGACUCUAACUUAUUUACAGUUCUACAUUUCCCAUUCUGAUGAAAAACAUCCUAUUAAACUGACCCUAUUAGUUAAAUAAAUGGCUUCAAAUACAGAGUCCCUAAUAUGUAUUUACUACCUUAUUUACACAGCAAAUAAAAUAAUUAUAUUUCAAAUAAAUCGACACAACUGGUGCAUAACAUAACCUCAUAAAAUAUAAUCCAUACAACAAAAACUAAUCAAGCAUACUUAUAACUAAAAUAAUAGUAAUAUUAAAAAAAUAGAUUGCAUAUUUUUUUUAUAAAUAUUUAUUGUUAAGAAGAAAUAGUCAUUCAUAUAUUUCGAUGGGAAACAAUAUAUAUAUAUAUAUAUAUAUAUAUAUAAUUUUUAAAAGGGUGUUUGUUUUACUAAUUAACAAUUCAUAUUAAAAAUACAAUGCAGCUAUUUAGAUCAAAUUUUGAAUAGUUAUUUAGUUUAAUAUAAUAAUAUUUUAUUGUUAACUAUAUUCCGUAUGCUUUUGUAUUAUUUUGUAUUAUGUUAUAAAUAUCUAAACAUCAAUCACAAAAUUUCGGUGAGAAUUUAAUAGCUUAUUAAUUUAUAGUCAUUUUUCAAGUUCAACACAUAAUAUACUGAGUACGAAAAAAAACAUAAAAAUCACUAAGAUUUGAUCAUUAUAUAUUAUUUAUUUCAUCCAAAUGCUUUAUUGGGUUUAAAAUAUAAUUUUAUAUAUAUUAUUUAUUUUAGCUUAUAUUUUACUCUUAAUUGGGUACUUAUGUUGUGGUUAUGGAAGUUGUUAUUAUAUAAUAACUUAUGAGUUGCAUAUAAUAUCCAGAAAUAUUGUGUAAUUAUUGAUUCAGAUGUAUAUAUUAGCACACUCACACCUAAGAAGAAGAUGAACUCUGCACUGUAUGCAUUAACAAUAUUGUAAGCAAAGAGAAUUCAACGAAUUGCCUUGCAACCAUAUCUUUCACCACCAGUGCAUCGUUGACUGGUUUAUAUCAAAUUUAAGUUGCCCAACAUGUUAAGAUACGGUACUAUAAUUACAAGUUUGUCUAUUUCCUCACUAUUAAUACUCUUUAGAUUCAUCCAACUCCAGAAAAUUUCUAAAAAUGAUGUGAUGGCACCAUGAAAAAAAAUACUUAUCAAUACGCCAUGGUAUAUUUAGUCAUCAAAUACAAUAACAUAUACAGAAUUUAACUAAUAUGUAUAUUUUAAAAUAUAACAAUUUAUAUUGAAUAUUUACUCUAAUUAUUUACAUAAUUUUUAAAAUAGCAUCCCGCCCGUAGGGCGGGCCGGUCCUAGUAAUUAUAUAAAGAAGAGAUGAUUCAAUUAUGAGAGAAACACGUCACUAAUUGAAAGCACCAGACAAUGACGUGUGUCCUGAUAUCAAUACUCGGGCGUUUCAUUAAUUUGAGUCGUGUUUUUGUAUCUCUGGGCUGGGAAAAUGGUAGGCUAAGGUUGAUUUUAAAACAGGCCCAUAACCUGAAUAAGGAAAACCCUAAGCUUUUGAUAAAAAAAAAAGGAAAAUCCUAAGCUUGUCGCUUUGUCGUCCCCUUCGAGACUUCUCAUUUUCAUCUCUACCAUCUCAGCACAGAAACGUUCACGAUUAUUUAUUCGUCGUGUUUAAUCUCCAUUAAUUCAAUCAAACACGAUGUGGCUUUUAAUGCGUGCUUUGAUUCGAAGUCGGUGUAUCUACGAGUAUAAAUAGGCGAGCAUUCUUCCUCUUGCAAUCAUCUUAACAAUCUGUUUAAACAGCAAACACACAUUUAUUUUCUGAGAUAUGGCUAACUCCAAAAUUUUGCUUUCGGAUUUGAAGUCCGAUAAAUGUUCUUCUAGAGUUCAAGUUAGAUUGUUGCGAUGCUGGGAGACGAGACAUGUUAGGCGAGGUGGUGAACUCAUGUCCGUCCAUACGCUCUUGCCUGCUUCGAAGGCAACUAUCAUGCCAGCCACCGUGAAUGCUAGCCACUUUUCCCGUUUUAUGGUGCGAGUCCAGCUCAGUCCUUCUUCUCCAAGAAGGCUCCGGGGAGAUCUCCGGCGACUUAUAGGAUCGCGGUGAGCUUGGUGAUGAAUUUGGUCGUGGCCAUUUUUAAGACACUUCUGCUGCUAAGUUUAAGAGAAAUGAUAACAAAGCAAAGGCUAUGGGAAGGAGGAGAGCUUUUGGAUAUAAUACUUUCAAGAGGUGGGAAGUAUAAGGAGGAGGAUGCAAAGUUUGUUUUGAUACAAAUAUUGUAAGUGAUUUCAUUUUGUCAUCUCCAAGGUGUUGUACACCGAGAUCUCAAACCCAAGAAUUUUCUGUUUCCCUCAAAAGACACCUCUCAGUUUAAGGCAAUAGAUUUUGGCUUUUCAGAUUACAAUGAGAGGACAACUAACUUAUAAAGUGGGUUUUAGGGUCAAAAAAGGCAGCGCAAAAAUUUACCUCUAACAGAAGCAGCCAUAGAAAUUAGAAUUCUGAAAAUGAAAUUCAAUGCAACUCACGAAGAGUUAAUCAAAUUGUGAAACGUAGAAGAAUAUGCAGGUUUCAAGUAUGCUCUGGAAACUUUGGUAGAGACACCUAAUAUGACUGUUAGGGUUGCAAAAUGGUUGAUUUGUAUCUUUUUAGCUUCGCUUAUAGAAGCACACUUAAAUUAUGUUCUUACUAUUCAAUUAUGGUAGUGUCAUGCUAACGAUUGUAAUCAACUGUGCAAAAAUCUAAAAAGCAAUCUUAAACCAUUUUUAGAUAUAAGGAAUGAGACUUUUGUGAACCCAACGUUCAUUAACUUUCACAAAGAAAGUGCUACAGAAGUGGUGACUUGAAAUUGUACGAAACUGAGUUCUAGAGUUUUUUAUUUUUGUUUUUGAAAAACUUGAGUUCUAGAGUUUUUAGGGAGUUAGGGACUUUAACCAAUGUUUUAGUUCCUGCCUUCCUGGACUUAUAUUUACUGUGUGUUUUUUAAAACAUGGACCAUUAUGAUCAUCUUUAUCUCUUAAAGCUAUUGAAGGAGAAAUAAAAGAUCAUCGGCAGAAGAAUAAAAUUUUACUGAUACACACAUACAUGUGCUUAUUUAUGUCUCCUGAAUCAUGAAUGUUUGUUUCAGUAUAAACUUAUAUUUUGUAUUUUGACCCCAAAAAAAAACUUAUAUUUUGUAUUGAGUUGAUCUUUCUUUAUCCGUGUACUUUUCUACUUUUGUUGUGCACAAAUUUUUAGUUGGUUAACAAAACAUGAGUCAACUUCAGAUUUGCUUGAUAAAUUUUCUUAUACAAUGAAGACUAAUACAUUAAAACACUUUGAAUAUAUCAUUGAUUUGUUUGGUGAUGUAUAUAUAUAGCUCAAGAUUUAUCUGGACAUGCUUUGAAUAGAGGCCUCCAAAAUUGGCCCCAAGACAAGAAACCUUCCGAGCUAUCGGAACACUUGGAAACAAACUCUUCCCAAGGACGAAUAUGAAGCAGAGUCUACCAAAGAUCUCACUGCGAUUAACACAAAUAAUACUUUUGGGAAGAAGAAAUCGCUUGAAAAUCCACCUCCUCUUGGUUUGACUGUAGGAGAUUUAUUUCCUAUAAAAUAUAUUUCAUAGUUGACUGCCGUUCAAAAAAAUAAUACAUAUAUGACCAAGUUAUUUGGUCAAUGCUUUCAAUUGCAAACUCACGUGACAGUCAAUUCACAGAUAGUGAUUUCAAUAGAACUAAAUAAAGCUAUAACAAAAUUGAAAAAAUUACCGGCGGUUACAAAAAAGAACGAAGGCUUUGAAUGGUGACCAAGGAACGAAAGGGAACACUGAAUUCCUUAUCAUUCCCAAAAAAAAUCACCAUUCACAAGGAAUAGUUUUUCCUUCUUGUUCCUCCCCAUUCCUUUUUUUGUAGAGAAAUAUAGAACAAAAGCAUUCUUUGUUAAAUUUGAUAAGGAACAUGCAUUCCUUUUCAUUCCUGCAAUUUUAUUCCUAUACGUUCAUUUCCUAUUCGUUCCUCGUGUUCCCGAAAAGGUCACCAGUCGGAGCUGAAAUAUGACUAAGAAAAAAGUGGCAAAAGUGGAAUGGAAGACUCGACCUUAAAUAGGACAUAGGCUUUUAACUAAACUGGGCUUUAAUUGAAAUUAAGCUUAUUAUCCAUUUAUGCCUCUUCUAAUCAACUUUAAUCGUUUCUUUGAUAAAAGCAAAUAUUACAAGUUAGAAAAUUGAUCAAAAUGAUUUUUUCUUUGGUCAUUGUUUUGAUUUUGAAAUUACCUUUGUCAUACAACAAACACCGUAUAACACAAAUCUUAUAAUCUAAAUAACAAUUAAAUUAUGGGCUAUGGAGUUACUGUCAGAUGAGGUGGUGCAUGUUUCUACUUCCACGCUGAGUAACAAAUUUGCCAUUAUUUUAAAACUCGAACCGAAUUAACAGUCGGACAGGUUUAACCGUCAACUAGACACAUAUUCGGGUCGGCUGGAUAAAAUUGCGUUUAGUUUUAAUUUGUUACUAAAAAACAUUUGUUGAAUGUUUUAUCUUUUAAAUCAUCAAAACUAUAAUAAAUAAAUAAUAUAUAUUUUAUUAUAUUUAAUGAUAAAUAUUUUAUCUUAUAAUUUAAAAUAUUGAAUUUAUAUUUUAUUUUUAUUUUUUUUACUUAAAUUUAUAAAAUAUAUGCAAUGAAAAUAUAUAAUUAUAUAAUUAUAUAAUUAUAUACAUCACAUUUAAAUCAAAUCCUACGCGUAGCGCAUGGUUACUCUAGUUACCCUAUAUAUUAACUCGAUAUCUUUUCAUAAAUCAAAGCAGUCCUUAUACAUAUAGCUAGCGGUAAAUUAGAUUUUAUUCAAUUUGUUUGAAACGUUAUCAUUCAUUUGGUUAUUUUGUGUUUAUAUUAUAUCCGUUUAAUGAUACUUUUUUGUUUUUGUAUUGGUCAUGCAGAUGAAUCUUACCAACUUCGACGGACAAGCAAAUCACAAGGCAGUGUGGACUAUGAAUUGUGCAGUAUUUCAGAUCCACUACUGCCGGAUAAGUUUGACGGAAAAAAUUUAUGUAUUUGGCAACAAGAGAUGGAACAAUAUUUAACGCAUUUGAAAUUGAUUAUCUUAGUGAUGACAAACCAGUAAAUCAUGUUGGUAACACCGAUGUCUUCAAUUUAAGAAGUGAAGAAUCGUGGAUAGAUGGUGAUUAUAUGUAUAAAUGAGUGAUAUUAGGCCGACUAAUUGAUCCCUUUUAUGCAUUGUAUUCUCAGGAAAAAACUUCUAAGCCGUUGUGAUUAUCUUUGGAGAAGAAUCAUGUUAUGAGGCGUCAAUAUUUUGCCACUGCCAAAUUCUUACACUUCGAGAUGGUGGACUCUAAACCUAUUGUUAAAAAAAUUGAGCAAUUAAAUCUGCAGCGAUUUGAAUUCGGAGGGUAUUUCUCUUUGCAAUACUUUUAUUUUUAGCAAUUUGAUCGAGAAGAUUCCUGGAAGUUCGAGGUAGUUUAACGUCUCUGGAUGAUAUAAUCAACAGGAUAAAGUUAGAAGAUCUAAACAAGAACGUCAUGAAAAAUCAUUCUUGUUCCAUUCCACAUGGGAAGUUACAAGCCAAAGCAAAAACAGUGUCAAAAAAACGGUUGCUAUUGAUAAGAGGUCGAAAGGAAUUUGUCACAAAUGUGAAAAAAAUUACUAUAUCUAAUACUGUUUAAACAUCUAUAUGAAUUUACAGUUUGUUGAUAUUUCUCUUUAUUGUCAAUCAAUGUUUUAAUAUCUAAUAAUAAUUCUUUUAUAUUCUUAUUAAUCAUAAUGGUUUCAUAUUUUUUCCAUUAAAACACAUACUAAUAUAAAUUAAAGUUCGAAUAAUAGCUAUAUAGGUAAGAUAGUAGUAUAAUAAUUACAAAGAUGAACCAAGUGAAACGAAAAGACAAUUCAUUAGAAAAUGAUUUACAUGUUUAAGCAUAUACUGUAAUUAUUAUAUCUAUGGACGUAUGCAAUAAACAACCAAGUUUCCAAAUCAAUGAAAGUUGAUAGGUAAAAUGUUUCGUUUGACAAGAAGGUUUUUUCAGAACAAAACUUUUAAAAGGGUUGACCAAAAAAAAUUUUAAAAUGAAGAUUUUUUUUAAUAAAUGAUACGUAUUAAAAAGUACCUACAUGAUAGUUUAUGAUCCAAUAUUUAUAUUUUAUACGAUCUUCCUAUGUAAGCAUAUACUGUAGAUAAAACACAUUAAAGUGCAUAUUAGUUACUAUAUGCAACAUUUACAUUUUAAUUGAUAUUUAUCUUUUAAAAAUUGAUAUAUUUCAUACUAAAUAUAACUAUAUGUAUAUUUAUAAGUAGGUGGUUGCCCACGAUUUCGCGGGAAUAAAUACUUUUUGAAAAUUAUAUAUGAUGUUUAUAAUCUUGUAAUUUUGAAUAAUAAUCAUAACUAUUAAAAUAACAUUUUAUUUUAAAUAGUUUGAAAAUCAAAAGUCUUGGUAUUGUAUACUCUUAAAAGAUAUUGAAAUAUAUAGUUAAUUCUAUAAAUUUUAUUAUAAGUUUCCAAAAAGUCUUUUUUGACAUAAUUUUUUAUUAAUAAAAAAAACCAAAUAUUAAUGAACAAAAAGUUAUCUUAUAACACUUUCUAUUUUCGCAUUAUUUUUUCUACCACUUUAUUUUAUUUAGAAGUAAAUAGUUACAAAUAAUUAAUUAACAGUUAUAAUAAUACGUUAAACACAUGUAUUUCGGCAAACAUAUAAAAAAUUAAGUACGUAAAAAUAUAAAAUAACACAGAAUAUAACCAAGAAUACAACAAAAAAGUGUUAUUAUUUUUCACUGAUGUUUUAUAUAUGUAUCCUUUCUUUUUUUUCUAUUACAAAAUAAGCAAGUCAAUUUUAUUAUAAGCAAAACUAUAUCAAUAGAGUCUUAACUCUAGUCCUGUAUUAAUAUAUUGUUCUCAUCUUUUUAAUUUAUAUUAUAAUAAUUUUUUUCAUUGAUUAAUAUUAUUUUAAAGAAUUUACCAUAUAAAUUUAUUAUAAUCAAGGCUAUAAGAAUUAUAUUUAUAGAGUAUAUUAACUUUAGUCUCGUAUUAGUAUAAUGUUCUAAUUUUUCAAUUUAAUAUCAUAAUAAAUAUUUUCAUUUAUUAAAAUUAUAUUAAAAGAUUUACUAUAUAUUUUUCUGUUUUUAUAUAUACAAAUAUUUUAAUCAUUUCUAAAAGUAAUAGCCCAACUAUACAAUCAACAUUUGUCACUGAAAAAUGACUGAAUAUUUUUAAAGUUAUAUAUUUGACUGUUUUAAUUCAUCGGAUACAUUUUUGAAAAACAUAUAUAUUGUGAGUAUAACAAAAUAUUAUUAGGUUUAGUUUAAUUAAUCUUCUGUAAUCUAUCAUUUAUUGUAUCCACUGUUAAUAUAAAUAUGUUAAAAUCGUUUAUAUAAUUAUUUCUAUCAUACCAUAUGUAUUUAUAUGUAUAUUUUAAAUUUCUAUAUUGUAAUCUAUAAUAUUUAAUUGUUUCUAUAAACAAAUUAUGUUAAUUCAUCUAUUUUUUUAAAUGUUUAAUUGUUUUUAUGGUAAUAUAGAUUAGAUUACGUAGUUAUAGGAUUAGUUUUCUUUUUUAAACUUUAACUAAAUAAAAGAAAAUUCAAAUACAAACAACCAAUCAAAUUAAGAAAAUUAACUCUAAACUUCACCUAUGAAUGACACCUAGGCAAAUAGUCGUCUGGGACAGCAUCAUCAAACAUAUUAGCCCUGAAGAACUCGAUGAGGUAAUGGAGCCUUUUGUCACAAUGGUCCCUUAUCUGCUUGUUGAGUGCGCUGUCCCUGGCGAACAAAAGGUUCAAUACACAUUGGAGCCAUACACAUAUGAGAGACAAACCGUUAGAGUACCUCAGUGCCGAGCUGGUGAUUGUGGCCCCUUCACUCUGAAGUACAUUGAAUGUCAUGCUCUUGGGAUGGAAUUUCCCAAAGCGUUUUGUACUAGAAAUGGGAAGACCAUCAGGGAGAAGAUGGCGGUGGAUAUAUUUCAAGAGCUUCCUAUGUGCCGCGAAUGGGAAAACCAAGACAAUGAUGAGAACCUGGGCACGUAUGAGUAGAUAUUGGAUGUGUUAUUUGUAUUUGAACUUGAUGCUUUUGUGUACUGUUGUAUGGUAGAUUAUGCUACGUUAACAGGGUCAGGAUAGGAUGAUGUUUUUUGUAACCUAUCCUCAUACCAAACUAGAAUUCCGUAGGAAAUUAGUUUGGUAGUGCAGUAACCUUUCGGAUAAUGUAAUGUUUGACUAGUCUUUUUAAAUUGCAUUGUCGUUGGGCGACUAACCAGAAGGUCGUCUGGACGAUUUACCACCACUUCCAACAAAAAGACCACUCAGACAACUUAACUUUAAGUCGUCUGCGUGGUCUUUUUGUUGGAAGACUUCUCAGACGACUUAAAGUUAAGUCUACAGAGAAGUUCAUAAAACAUAGAGUCUACAGAGAACUUCAUAAAA